UUAAAUCAGUUAUCGUUUAUUUGAUAGUACCUUACUACAUGGAUAACCGUGGUAAUUCUAGAGCUAAUACAUGCUAAAAACCCCAACUUCGGGAGGGGUGUAUUUAUUAGAUAAAAAACCAAUGCCCUUCGGGGCUCUUUGGUGAUUCAUAGUAACUUAACGGAUCGCAUGGCCUUGCGCCGGCGACGGUUCAUUCAAAUUUCUGCCCUAUCAACUUUCGAUGGUAAGGUAUUGGCUUACCAUGGUUUCAACGGGUAACGGGGAAUUAGGGUUCGAUUCCGGAGAGGGAGCCUGAGAAACGGCUACCACAUCCAAGGAAGGCAGCAGGCGCGCAAAUUACCCAAUCCCGACACGGGGAGGUAGUGACAAUAAAUACUGAUACAGGGCUCUUUUGGGUCUUGUAAUCGGAAUGAGUACAAUUUAAACCCCUUAACGAGGAACAAUUGGAGGGCAAGUCUGGUGCCAGCAGCCGCGGUAAUUCCAGCUCCAAUAGCGUAUAUUAAAGUUGUUGCAGUUAAAAAGCUCGUAGUUGAACCUUGGGCCUGGCUGGCCGGUCCGCCUCACCGCGUGUACUGGUCCGGCCGGGCCUUUCCUUCUGGAGAACCCCAUGCCCUUCACUGGGUGGUGUGGGGGAACCAGGACUUUUACUGUGAAAAAAUUAGAGUGUUCAAAGCAGGCCUUUGCUCGAAUACGUUAGCAUGGAAUAAUAGAAUAGGACGUGCGGUUCUAUUUUUGUUGGUUUCUAGGACCGCCGUAAUGAUUAAUAGGGAUAGUCGGGGGCAUCAGUAUUCAAUUGUCAGAGGUGAAAUUCUUGGA
rnacentral:rRNA from 1 species